AUUGGACGCUGGCGGCAGGCUUAACACAUGCAAGUCGAGCGGGGGGAGGUAGCUUGCUACCUAACCUAGCGGCGGACGGGUGAGUAAUGCUUAGGAAUCUGCCUAUUAGUGGGGGACAACAUUUCGAAAGGGAUGCUAAUACCGCAUACGCCCUAAGGGGGAAAGCAGGGGAUCUUCGGACCUUGCGCUAAUAGAUGAGCCUAAGUCGGAUUAGCUAGUUGGUGGGGUAAAGGCCUACCAAGGCGACGAUCUGUAGCGGGUCUGAGAGGAUGAUCCGCCACACUGGGACUGAGACACGGCCCAGACUCCUACGGGAGGCAGCAGUGGGGAAUAUUGGACAAUGGGCGGAAGCCUGAUCCAGCCAUGCCGCGUGUGUGAAGAAGGCCUUUUGGUUGUAAAGCACUUUAAGCGAGGAGGAGGCUACUAGUACUAAUACUACUGGAUAGUGGACGUUACUCGCAGAAUAAGCACCGGCUAACUCUGUGCCAGCCGCCGCAGUAACAC
rnacentral:rRNA from 1 species